rnacentral:rRNA from 1 species
UGGGGAAUAUUGCACAAUGGGCGCAAGCCUGAUGCAGCCAUGCCGCGUGUGUGAAGAAGGCCUUCGGGUUGUAAAGCACUUUCAGCGGGGAGGAAGGCGAUAAGGUUAAUAACCUUGUCGAUUGACGUUACCCGCAGAAGAAGCACCGGCUAACUCCGUGCCAGCAGCCGCGGUAAUACGGAGGGUGCAAGCGUUAAUCGGAAUUACUGGGCGUAAAGCGCACGCAGGCGGUCUGUCAAGUCGGAUGUGAAAUCCCCGGGCUCAACCUGGGAACUGCAUUCGAAACUGGCAGGCUAGAGUCUUGUAGAGGGGGGUAGAAUUCCAGGUGUAGCGGUGAAAUGCGAAGAGAUCUGGAGGAAUACCGGUGGCGAAGGCGGCCCCCUGGACAAAGACUGACGCUCAGGUGCGAAAGCGUGGGGAGCAAACAGG